GACGAACGCUGGCGGCGUGCUUAACACAUGCAAGUCGAACGGAAAGGCCUGCUUUCCCUUGUGGAUUGCGGGUACUCGAGUGGCGAACGGGUGAGUAACACGUGAGUGAUCUGCCCCCAACUUGGGUAUAAGCCUGGGAAACUGGGUCUAAUUCCCGAUAGGACUGCAGGGUGGUGCCUGUGGUGGAAAACGAUUUUCUAGUGGUUGGGGAUGAGCUCGCGGCCUAUCAGCUUGUUGGUGGGGUAAUGGCCUACCAAGGCGGCGACGGGUAGCCGGCCUGAGAGGGUGGACGGCCACAUUGGGACUGAGAUACGGCCCAGACUCCCACGGGAGGCAGCAGUGGGGAAUAUUGCACAAUGGGCGGAAGCCUGAUGCAGCGACGCCGCGUGGGGGAUGACGGCCUUCGGGUUGUAAACUCCUUUCGACCGCGAGGAAGCCACCUGGUUGGAAGGGUGGUGACGGUAGUGGUAGAAGAAGCAGCGGCUAACUACGUG
rnacentral:rRNA from 1 species